GACGAACGCUGGCGGCGCGCCUAACACAUGCAAGUCGAACGAGCUAGAGAGAGCUUGCUUUCUCGAGCGAGUGGCGAACGGGUGAGUAACGCGUGAGGAACCUGCCUCAAAGAGGGGGACAACAGUUGGAAACGACUGCUAAUACCGCAUAAGCCCACGGCUCGGCAUCGAGCAGGGGGAAAAGGAGCAAUCCGCUUUGAGAUGGCCUCGCGUCCGAUUAGCUAGUUGGUGAGGUAACGGCCCACCAAGGCGACGAUCGGUAGCCGGACUGAGAGGUUGAACGGCCACAUUGGGACUGAGACACGGCCCAGACUCCUACGGGAGGCAGCAGUGGGGAAUAUUGCACAAUGGGGGAAACCCUGAUGCAGCGACGCCGCGUGGAGGAAGAAGGUCUUCGGAUUGUAAACUCCUGUUGUUGGGGAAGAUAGUGACGGUACCCAACAAGGAAGUGACGGCUAACUACGUG
rnacentral:rRNA from 1 species